CAGGUGCAGAUCCGCAGUGCUGAUGAGCCGAUGACCACCUUUGUGUUGUGUAACAGCUGCGGCAACCGAUGGAAGUUUUGUUGAAGAGGACGUGCGUGUGUGUGUUUGCGUGUGUUUGUGUGUGUGUGUGUGUGCGUGCCUGUGUAUAUUCUAUCAUGAAGCAAAAUGACUAAAAAUGAAUUGAAUUUGGAUUCAAAAAUAUGAAUUUCUUUUUUUGUUUUAUUUUGUAUAAUUUAUUUUGUAUAUAUAUAUAAAAGGUGAAUGCUGUAAUAUAUUUAGAUAUAUUUAAAAACAAAUAUGAAGGCCCAUGUUGUGUAUAUGGUUUAGUUUGUAUUGUAUGCAGCACUUAUAAAGAGUUUAUUUCUUAUUCUAGAUGAAGCUUUAAACCAGAAUGAAAUCACAUUUAGGAUUUGUGGAAACAGCUUGUUGUGCUGACAUAAUAUGUUACCCUUAACAUUUCUAUUAAAGUUGCUCUUUAUUUAAGACCA